GGCCACAUCACGUUGAAACACCGGUUCUCAUAUGAUCACUUAAGUUAAGCAACGUCGAGCCUGGUCAGUACCCAGAUGUGUGACCACUUGGGAAUAUCAGGUACUA